rnacentral:misc_RNA from 1 species
UUUUAUGCGAAUUGCUGUCAAACUGUUAUUUGCUGGUGAACGUAAGGUGUGUGAUCAAGUUCUUGAAGGAUUCGAUUCACUCAAUGAUCAAUGUUUUGCUGAAGUUACUACUGCGAGUGUUGCUGUGUUGCUUAGUUUUGGUGAUGCCAUUGCAAAGAGCAAAAGAUCACCUGAGAAGUUAUUUGUGCUUCUAGAUAUGUAUGAAAUAAUGCGGGAACUUCAUUCAGAGAUUGAAUCACUUUUCAGAGGUAAAGCUUGCAAUGAAAUUAAGGAAUCUGCCUUUGGUUUGACAAAGCAACUUGCCCAGACAGCCCAAGAAACCUUUGGUGAUUUUGAAGAAGCAGUU